rnacentral:rRNA from 1 species
GAGGAUGCGAGCGUUAUCCGGAUUUAUUGGGUUUAAAGGGUGCGUAGGCUGUGAUGUAAGUCAGCGGUAAAAGCCCGGGGCUCAACCCCGGCGAGCCGUUGAUACUGCAUGACUUGAGAGGCCGAGAGGUAUGCGGAAUGCGCGGUGUAGCGGUGAAAUGCAUAGAUAUCGCGCAGAACUCCGAUUGCGAAGGCAGCAUACCGGCGGCUAUCUGACGCUGAGGCACGAAAGCGUGGGUAUCAAA